rnacentral:rRNA from 1 species
UACGUAGGGUGCGAGCGUUGUCCGGAAUUAUUGGGCGUAAAGGGCUCGUAGGCGGUUUGUCGCGUCGGGAGUGAAAACCCAGGGCUUAACUCUGGGCUUGCUUUCGAUACGGGCAGACUAGAGGUAUGCAGUGGAGAACGGAAUUCCUGGUGUAGCGGUGAAAUGCGCAGAUAUCAGGAGGAACACCGGUGGCGAAGGCGGUUCUCUGGGCAUUACCUGACGCUGAGGAGCGAAAGUGUGGGGAGCGAACAGG